AUCAUCUUUACUGCACAAAGUUCUAUUUUCUCUUUGUAAAAAGUUCAGCUUCUAGAAAUUCUGGAAAACUUCAGAACCUUACAUUUCUGAUUCACUACAAGUUGAAAGCAUGGUUUAAAAUUGAAGAUUAAGUCAGUUGGACUUCUUGGUUUCAAGUUGGUUUUUUAUUUGAUUUGAAUCUUCGUGUUAUUUUUGGGGUUAUUGCAGCUGUUUCUACUUCUGAAGUUCUUCCAACAGUUUUCUUUCACUUAGCGUUUGUUUUCAAUUGAUGUUUCAAGGUACACAUGAUCUUUUCCAUAUUUAAAUGCUUGUAAAUGAGAUUUAAGAUGAAUAUGAGCUGUCCCUUUAUAUGCCAAUGCUUGUAUAUUCUUGAUAUGAUUUAUAUGCUGAAAUUACAAUAAUACUGAAGCUUUUUCCUCCUCCCCUUAAAUGUGUGAAUUUCUGUACAUUUAAUUCAUGAGAUACUGUUUCUUUACAUGACUUUGGAUACUGAUCAUCGUAUGUUUGUAUGCAUUUCUGCUUCUUCUUACACUAAUUAAAUAAUAUAUUUAGACUCACAUCCUUAAAACAUGGUUUGUCCAUUGAGUCUGACCCUUACAUGGUCAGAUUCAUGGAUUGAACCUCCCAUUUCCUUCCUUUUGAGUUUAUUCUAGUAUUUCACCAAGGCAGUAUGCCAUGAUUUUGGGUUUGAAACCCAUAUUGGUUCAUGGGUUUAACCUUUAACCUGGUUAAACCCAUGAAUCAUGACUUCUUCUUUUAAUUUUUGUAUUAUGUGUUUAAGUUUGGGUCCGAUAAUGUUGUAAGAUAUUGUAAUUAAGGGUAAUUUGUGAAUAUGACCUUUUCACAUGGUCGGAUUUAUGAAAUUCUUAGUAAAGUAGAAGCUGAUUUGGUAUUAAGAAACUUCAGUGUUGGUGUUUAAGUAAUCAGCUUGCGAGAAAAAAGCUCUGUAGCUGGCCUUUUACAGAUCUUACGCAUGGGUUUGAAGGAGUUGAUGGCAAGGACUUGAAAUUAGAAGAAAUUUUCGUUUUCUUUGCUUUUUCUUUCAUAAAUUUUUUCUUUUUUGAGAUGUUAGUUAUGACGUCUGUUACGAUAUUGAUUAUUAAGAUUUUUCUUGUAUAAAUUCCCGGGCUUUCAAUAUUGUAAGCGGACUGUUAAAAUUUAAAUUACGUUUGAUUACCAGUAGACUAUCAAUGUUAAGAUUUUCUUCUUGUGAUGAACAUAUAUUAUGAUUACAUGUACUAUGAAUUGGGCUAGAUUUGCAACCAGGACGUAGUUUGGGAUUCAUUAGAGCAAGUCUAGGCCUAGGCCAUUGAGCCUGGGCAUUGGACCUAAUCGUGCACUCUAAUUGUGAAUAUUUCCCUCUUGUGAAUUUUGAGAUAAACGCCUGUCCCAUGUCUUGCAAAUCAAUGCAGUGUGAUUUAGUUUUAAACUGGCAUUGUAUUUCAAUUUUCCAUUCAAAAGUGAACUUAUAGCCUCUUCGACUAAUAUAGACACUAUGCAAGGUAGAUAGGCCCAGCCAGUCACAACUGGGCCUGCCUAACAUAAGCCCAAUAUAGGCCAAACUUGGUUUAAAAAUCAAGUGUAGCAAUGGCCCUUAAGCUUCUCAUUUUUGGGCCAAAUUCGAAGCCAAAGCAACCUUAAAAACACGGAUGGAUCCUUAACCAAAUGACCUAGCAGGCUUUUUUAGACCCAAUUCCCCUUGUCCAAAAAUGAUUAAAGGUCCAGUAAAUAUUCCCUAAACUUGCUGAUAAUAAAUAGCUUUAUGUUAAGCUUAUGUUAGUUUUAAAUAUUUAGAUUGAGUUUCUUUCUUACCUGCUUUAUUCUAUUAAUUUUAGCCCGUGUUAGUUUAGAAAAGCAUGCUUAGUUGAUCUAAAUUGCCUAUUUGCUUAAGUUGCUUUGUUUGUACUACGUGAAGCAUGUUAGGCUAGAACUACAUGUUCCCUUGUAUUUCUUUGAAAUUCAUUGCUGAAUAUUUUCUUGUUGUGGCUGUGUAUUUACAUUAGGACUAUGGAUGUGGGAUUUCGGUAGCUCCCCCUUGUUUGUUUACUUUGGGACUACGGGUUAGAUUCCCGAUAGAUCCCCCUACAUAUUUACUUUGGGACUAUGGGUUAGAUUCCCGGUAGAUCCCCCUCCAUAUUUACUUUGGGACUGCAAGUUUGAUUCCCGAUAGAUCCCCUACACGUUGAUAGUUGGACUAUGGGAAGGUAUCCCGGGAGAUCCUUUAGAUAUAUACAUAUGAUGGACUACGAGACGGCAUCCCAAGAGAUCCUCGAACAGUUGAUGAAAUGGACUACAGGAUGGUAUCCUAGGAGAUCCUCGUUGUUAGUAUUGGUACGGAGCUGUUUACUCCUUUUUACCUUAUCUUGUGUGUAUUAUUUGUUGCCUUGUAUAACAUGUCUUACUUCAUAGUAGUACUCGUUAUUCCUGCUUAUUUCAUAUUGUUGCAAGAUUUAUUAUUAUGUUAUUUCUCAGUAGGGCCCUGACAUUCCUCGUCACUACCCGACUAAUGUUAGGCUUGGCACUUACUGAGUACCGUUGUGGUGUACUCAUGCCCCUUCUCAGCAUGUUUUUCAUGUGCAGAUCCAGGUACCUCCAUCCAUGCGUAUUAUUCUCGAGGCGCAGAGAUCUAGAAGAGACUUCGAGGUACAUCUGUCGUGUCCGCAGACCAGGAGUCUCUAUCUUAUUCUAACUUUAGCAUUUAACUUUCCUUUCGUACUGUUGUUUUAGACAUUCUAGAGUUAGAGUUGUGUAUUACAUUCUGUUAGCUUGUGUUCCCGUGAGUAUUCAGGUUUUGGGAUAGUAUUGUAGUAGUUGAGGUAUUGUGAUGUAUGUGCCGGGUGGCAUUCUACAUUACGCUUCCUAUAUUGAUAAACCUUGGUUGAGUAAAAAUUUCUGCAAGUUAUUUGUUUUCCGCAUUUGGGCUUACCUAGUCGUAGGGACUAGGUGUCAUCACGACAUGUUCAUGGAGGGC
rnacentral:lncRNA from 1 species